rnacentral:tRNA from 1 species
GGUGGGGUUCCCGAGCGGCCAAAGGAGCAGACUGUAAAUCUGCCGUCAUCGACUUCGAAGGUCUGAAUCCUUCCCCACCACCA